rnacentral:rRNA from 1 species
UACGUAGGCGGCCAUAUAAGUCAGAAGUGAAAGCCCGGGGCUUAACCCCGGAAGUGCAUUUGAUACUGUCAGGCUUGAGUAUGGGAGAGGGAAGUGGAAUUCCUGGUGUAGAGGUGAAAUUCGUAGAUAUCAGGAGGAACACCGGUGGCGAAGGCGACUUCCUGGACCAAUACUGACGCUGAGGCGCGAAGGCGUGGGGAGCAAACAGGAUUAGAUACCCUGGUAGUCC